rnacentral:sRNA from 1 species
GCCAGGGAGAGAAAGCGUAGGAUCAGGGUGGUAAUACUGGUAAUACUGUGGGUUGCUAUUCAUGGAGGCAUGAACCAUGGGCGUCCGUUAGCUUUCGACAUUUGCGAAAUUGAGGCUGUUGAACAAGGGUUAAGCUGCGCCGGGGCCAGCGUCGCCGGCUUGAAAACUACCUACCCAACGUUGCCCAGAUCUUGAGUGCAGGUGCUUUUUCCUCGAGGCUGAUCUUCCCACUGAGCCCAUCUCGCGGAGCCCCAACUCUCUUCUCUCUUCUUCUGGUCUGGCAGCCCCCUUCUCCUUUUACCCCCCGUAUGGCCCCUUUUACAGGGUACGCGGCGCGACCAAUGCACUCUGCUGCACAGACAUUUCCUGUUUUUAGCCUUUUGAUGGGCACUCUUGAGAAAAUUUCCUGUGGUCUCGUUUUGCACUAACCAAGAGCUUAACUACGCAGUAGUUGUCCAACUCUCGAGGGGAGAUAAUUCGAAGCAAUCUAAUCUUUGCUCAUCUAGGGUCAAAAAUAUUCAAUAAAUACUUUAAUUCACCGACUAUCAGCCAAGGAAUAAUUUCCGGGAAGGAAAAAUGUAUCUCGGUAUGCCAACGUCAUAGACAACUUUAGGAGAUCGACUCUUCUGGAAACCUCAACGCUGAACGCUGAACCUGCAUUCGGACCCAAAUAUCUGAGUAAUGAUUGCACUGUUUUAGCGACUGGCUUUUGCUAAACAGUGGAUCAACAGAAGCGUCAUCAGAUUCUUCCGGGAACAUUUUAUCAUCGUUGAAUUUGAGCGAAAACUCCCAUCACCAAGAUAUCAAAAAAUAUGUAUAUAUCAAAUAAAUCAAGAAAUCCAGGGCUAUUGAACUGAGCAUCAGAUUUGUCAUUUCAAAGAAAAGAUCAGACAAGGUGGGAAAAAAAAUAUACGGGACAUGUUUUCAUGUAUCCUGCGUGCUUUUCGGAUGAGGAACUCUGCGCAGCAAGGUCACCCGAUGCUUGCAACAAGAAUAUGUAGAUACCAGACAGGGAAAUAAGCGCGGGAUAUCAAGAAACGCCAACGCAAAAUAGAAUGAUGAUACAUUUGCA